CUGACAUGUGGGGCUUGGGACUAGUUGCUCACUGCUCCCCAUCCUCCCUGUUCCACCUUGGAGCUUGGCCCUAACACAGGGGUUGGCAGUGGGACGGAACUGGCUGGCUCUGUCAUCUGGACUCCAUAGCAUCAUUUCACUUCCGGCCGCAUCACCCUCCUUGUGGAAUAUGGCCUUGAGGUUGCACGUUGGUAAUCCCUCCUGCUUAAUGACAGUGUGCCAUGGGUAAAGCUCAUUUCUCCUUUCCUGCAGCAAUAACACAACAAUUACUGCAAUGAUGUCACCACUAUCUCUUAUAGCCAUCAUUUCAUAAAGAUGGAGUCUUGCUUUGUCAUCCAGGCUGGAGUGUAAUGAUGGAAUCUCGGCUCACUGCAACCUCUGCCUCCCAGGUUCAAGCGAUUACCAGGCCUCAGCCUCCUGAGUAGCUGGGGUUACAGUUAAGAGAACUGGAGACACAAAAAAGCUAAGUGAAUUAUGCAAAGCCACCCAGCUAGAAGUGACUUUCUUCAGAGGAAGUUCUUGGAAUUCCUGUGCCACCAUAAGAGUUACUCACCUGCUGGAUUUUUAUGAGAAGAUGUGACUUGGUCCUUGCCUUCCGCCAUGAAUGUGACGCCUCCCAGCCCUGUGGAACUAAAAGAAUAAUCAAGUUACUUCAGCUCUGGUAUCAAGCAAACUUCUCCCGGUAGGCUUCAGGAAGUUUGCUGAUCCUAUCAGCUCAGGAGCAGCUAAGUUCACAGGAAGGACAAUUCUGAAAGCUGGUGAAGACAUUGCCAUCAGACUCAUCUGCUUGUCAUGAAAUCGCAACAGCCACCCCAGCCUUCGGUAGCCACCACCCUGAUUAGUCAGCAGCCAUCAGCUGAUAUCAAGAAAUUGCCGCAGCCACCCCAGCCUUCAGUAGCCACCACCCUGAUUAGUCAGCAGCCAUCAGCUGAUAUCAAGAGCACAUUAAAUGUUAACACUGCGACUUGCAAGGACCCCCAGCUGGUGGAUCCCUGAGGACAAGGACAGAAGUUCACCAUGCACGGCCACUCUGCUUCAGGAAGAUGGCCAUGUGCAAGCUAGGAAGAAGACAGAACUCACCAGGGACUGAAGUGGCCAGUACUUUGAUCUUGGACUUCAAGCCUCCAGAUCUGUGAGAAAUAAAUUUUUGUUGUUUAAGCAACCCAGUCUGUGGUGUUUUGUUGCAGCAGCCGAAGUGAACUAAGACAAUACCCUAUGAGCUAAUACCAUUUUAGCAGUGAAGAAACUGAGGCUCAGGGAGCUUAGCAACUUUCUCAAAGUUUCUGUGUGCUAAGCUGUUUCCCUGCCCCUUUCUGUCUGAGGGGAAAUUGAAAUAUAAAGCAACAACCUGUUGCAGAAAUAUUUGAGUAAACAAACUUCAGAAAGAGUGUUAGAACCCAAACUAGCUUUCAAGUAGAAAAAUCAAGGUAUUCCUGGGUGCUGUUAGUGUGAAAAUACAGGAAAUGUCAUUGGACCCAUAGGUGGGAAUUAUGGGCAGGUCUCAUAGAACAGGCACCUAGAAGGUAGUCGGUAAUCAAGAAAACAUUUCUUUCCACGAGGCUGCACGAUCCCCCUCAUCUCUGUGUGUCUCUCAUCCUUUAUCGGCCUGCUUCCCUCUUCACCUGAUUCCUCUGCUUGUUCUUUUGGGGUGCAGCCCUACAAGGAACACCAACCUACAUUCUGCUUGUCUCCACUGAUCUGCUCUGUCUUUGAGUAUUUCCAGUUCUAGAAAUUGGUAGAAAGCCAGCUCAUAUGAGUGAGACCGCAUGUACCACAGGCGGCUGGCCAGCUACUUCUCUGGUUCCUUGUCAAAACUGUUGCAUACAUGUAGCUCAAUCUAUGAUCAUCUCUGCACAAACAAACAAACAAACAAACAAACAAAACCCAGCCCUGCACCCUUUCUGUGAAUGGGAAGCAAUGUACAGAACAUAUUAAGCCAAGAGGUAGGUAAGGCAGAAAAUUGAAAGAUGAUAUCUGUUAUUGAUUUGGUAUGAGUUAAAGGUACAUGGUUCUGUUUUAGAUAUUUUAUAAUAAUAAAAAUGAAAAAAGAGAAAGGAAUUGCCCCACAAUUACGUUUUCAAAAUAUGUUUAUUUUUUCCCCUAAUUUUUCUUGAGGUUAUUUAGAUAUUUCUUGACAAAUCUUCAUGGUAACAUAUGUGAAAGCAGACAUGUUUAUUUUCUUUGAUUUGGUGGAAUGAAUUAUCAAAAUUCUGGUUUUUAACAUUGUUAAAACUUCUGAGUAAAAAAUUUCUAACAAAUGAAGUGUUAAUACCAAAAAAAGAGUGUUAGCUAUGAGUGGUAUGUAAAUAAGUUGUCAAAUAUCAUCAAUAAUAAUUCUGAUCACCAUUUUCUUGGGUUUAUUAUAAUAAGACAAAUGUUGCUCCCAAAGAAACUGCUGAUUCUGGGGCAGGGACAAGAGCUCACCAAGAAAUCCAGCUACCAAAAUAUUUUGCCUGGUCACCCGGCCACAGGGGCUGAUGGCCAAAUCACAGACUUGAAACCUAAUGGCUGUGAGUGCACAUCAACGUGUUCAUCUGUCUGGUAUUAUUAUGUAGUUUUUGGAAAGCCGUGAUCUCUACGUCAGAUUGUUUUUUGCAAAAUAAGAAAUAAUACUGGGGUCUUGCCUCAAAAAAAGCAGUGAAGAUCAGCUCAUAGAAAUGUUUGAAAUCUAGGUAGUACUGCAGAUUUGUGGACGCUAGAGAAUGACUGUAAGAAGUGAUCUUAGGCGGGAAAAGCCCACUGUUAGGUCUUGGCUCAUGCUCCGCGUUGCCAAUUCCCAGCCUUGCAAUUUUGGACAGGUUAUUUAAUCUGUAAGUGUGCUUCCAUUUCAUCACAUAUAAAACAGAAAUAUGAAAACCUGCCUUUGAGCAUUUUCAUGGGGAUUAAAUGAGAUAAGUUCUGUCUGGCACAUACCAAUGCACAAAUAAGCUUAGCAAAUGUUUUUGUUUUUUAACUAGAUGAAGAUAAGUCUCUCCAGUGGUAUAUUUUUCUUUAGGAAAAAAAUAUCAGUACAUGCUUUUAACAUAAACCUGAAUCUAACUUCUAUAUAAUAAUGGACAAGAUAAGACUCCAGAAAUAUUUUAGAAUUUUCUUAGAUGAGCUCUCAAUCUGUGUUAAAACAGGUAAAACCUUUUACUAUAGACUGAGAAGGAAGAGAAAGGAAAAAAAAUGGCCUAUUUAAACAAUGAGGAAUAUAUAUAUAUAUAUUUGUCAGUAUCUUAAAGAGGCUUUUCUUAUACAAACAGGAGUAUUUGCUGGUCAGUGCCCAGAUUUUUUUUUCUUUUGAUGUACAUUAAAAAAAUUAAAAGAAAUAUUCUUAGAAAGACAUCUGUGCCUGGGGUGACUCACAUUUGAUCAAUCCCUGUGAACUGAGCUUUUCAGGGGAUGUGCAAUUAUUUGCUCAGUUAGGCUUAAACUUUUUAUUUAUCUAAUCACCCCUCUGUAAUGCUUUGAUCUGAACUUCCAAGGCCUAUUUUUCAACCACUUUAGCUACAUAUUUUAAGUCUUAUAGUCUAAUCAACCCUAGCCCAUAAAACAUGCAAUGUCCUGUUUAAUGCCUCCUAUUAGGAAAUCAGCUGCCACAUGGAUUUUGUAAUCUCCCACUUUGUGACUGGGUGAGCUGUUUGGAAGUGUCAUUAAUGUCAUUAUUCCAGGAGAGCGAGAGAGAGCCAGCAGCCAAGUGCAUCCCCUGUAUCCCAGCUGGCUUCUCCUUGCUAACGUUUGCCGAGUGACUCAGAGGUGAAUCAUCGGUUUCUGCAGGUGUAAGCUUGGGAGUCCUGGAAGUCUUCCACAUCCCAGUGGGGGCAAAUGUUUACCUCAUUAAUUCAUGGGAUUACUCAGUAGUUCCAGCCAACUUAAUUUGACUGUAUAAUAGUUAAAAAUAUGUGUGUGUAUGUGUGUGUGUGUGUGUGCAUAUUUACUUAUAGCCCAGGAGUGUGCUACAGCUUAGAAAUUUAAAGGUAAAACCUGUCAUUGAAUAAUUAGAAAAUGUUGUGUUUAUUUGAAACAUUUAGAAAAAAAAAUUCUAUGUAUGUCAUUUUACUGUAACAUAUACACUUGGUAAUGAUAUUUCUCACUUUUCUCUCUGUGCUUGGAUAUAUGUGAGGGACUGAGGUCCAUAACAGUUGGUGAAUUAGCCCACUCUAAUUCCUUUCCCAGCCUUGGGGCUUAUUUAGUUGAAUGUUGUCAGAAACCUUAGCCUUCAGAGACUUUUUUCUUUUCAAAGGACACUCAAUUUUUGGUUGUAAAAACAAAAAAGUAAAUAUAAAUAUAUUUCUUCACUUUAUUCAUCUCUGAACAAAUCUUGCUUUUACAUCUUAGUAGUGCCUAAUGAAGAUAACAACCAUCAACUAAAUUAGUAAGAUUUAAGAAUAUAAAAAUAUAGUUACAGCGCCAAUUUGCUGAAAAUUAAUGGUCAUUAAUCAAGACCUAUGAUGCAAUAGCUAAUAAUUGAUUUCCUCCUAUGUUCUAGCACAAUGUAAAAUGCUUUACAAAUACUAAUUUAUUUAAUUAUUAGAACACCCUACAACAUUGGUACUCUUAUUGUCUGCAUUUUACAGAUGAGAAACUCCAGGCAGAGAGAGGUUAGCCAGCUUGCCUAAGGUCACACACAGAUAAUACAUGAUGAAGCCGGCAUUUAAAUCCAGACAGUCUGACCUUAGAACCUGAAUUAUAAAACACUAUGUUAUUAUGGUCUAAUGACAAAUUUUUAAAAAACACAGAAGAAUCUAUGCAUGUAAAUGAAUCCAGUCCAUCUUAAAGUAGCCACCUAUGUAUGCUCUAUACUUAUUUCAAAUUUUGCUGUGGCUUAACACUUCCAGAACUCUCUCUUUUCUUUCAUUUCUAAAAAAAUUCUUGUGGAAACUAUGCCUUGUUGGUCUAAAUAUCACCAGUAAAAGCUUCACUCUUUGAAGUUGAAUUUGAUUUUGGAAAUAGUUGAAAGUGAUUCAAAACUCAGGUUGGUGAAGAGAGGAGGAAUCAAGUUUGGUAAGAUCACUAUAAGUUAAACUGUCUCUAAAUAUAAUUUUCAAGCAGGGAUUCUAGAAUUCCAAAAAUAUUUUGUGUAAUGGUAGCAUCAUUAAAAUAAAUGGAAAGCCUGCAAAGGUCAUUCUGAAGAGCGUUAGAAAGACAGAGAACAGUAGCAUAGAAGUUUCUGCUACAGUGAUUCAUCCUCUAAACAUAUGAAACCAUCCUAUUAGGUCACAAUUCAAUAGAUGCUAUUUGACUACCUGACCUGUUAGAAGCCCCUUUCAAUUCUUCUGUAUCCAAAUUUAUAUAGGGGACAUUAUCGGUCAAGACCCUGGUGAGAGAGUGACACAAAAUGGGUAAUUGAGGAGAGUUAAAUAAAGAAACAGUUUACAGGGUUAUAAGCAGGAUUUGUGGAAACCAAUAACAGAAAGUGCAAAUCCCUGGAUAGGCAGCAUGGAGGCACCAUCAUGCCCCUCAGCCUGAAGGGGCGCAAGGAGAGGAGCAGGGGCAAGAACCAGGGAGGGCUGCUGCUGUGAACAGGGCUGCAUGCAAGGGCCUGCAUUGGGGGAGGCAGCCAGCCCAUGUCAACCAAACGUAGGGGGGAGUCAGCUCAGAGCAAAUACCCCAUCUCACUCUCCUCCUGCCCUCUGAACUCCUGCUACUGCCCCACAGACCAAACCCAACCAGAACACACAGCAAAGAGCCAGCCUGUUGUCACAUGCCACAGAGAUUACCUUUUGGGAGCACACAGUGGGGUCAAGCCUGCCUUCUCUCUGGUUCUCACCUUUCCUAGAGGAGAGGAACUGACGCAUGGUAAAGACAUUUCAUAUACAAAUUUCAGUUACCCAACUGGCCUAGGAAAGGGAGGAGAGGAAGAAUCUGACAUUUAUUGACAGUUUUUACAUUUAGUGAGUACUUACUAUGUACCCAAUGUGCCAGGUGUUUUACUUAUGUUAAAAAUGAAGAUGCAUUAUGUGAAGAGAAUUUCACUUUACUUCUGUGGUUUCCCUCCCCUCACAAUUACAUUCUAAUUAUGAGAAAACAUCAGAUAAACCUUAUCUCUAUUGAGGGGCAUUCAAUAAAAUAUCUGAGCAGUAUUCCUCAAAACUGUUAAGGUCUUCAAAAAUAAAGAAUUCCGAGAAACUAUCACAACCAAUGGGAGCCUCAGGAGACAUGACCAACAAAUAUAAUAUGGUAUCCCUGAUGGGAUCCUGGAAAAGAAAACAGACAUUCGGUAAAAACUAUGGAAAUCUGGGCCGGGCGUGGUGGCUUACACCUGUAAUCCCAGCACUUUGGGGGGCCGAGGCAGGUGGAUCACCUGAGGUUUGGGAGUUCGAGGCCAGCCUGACCAACAUGGAGAAACCCCGUCUCUACUAAAAAUACAAAAUUAGCCUGGCGUGGUGGUGCAUGCCUGUAAUCCCAGCUACUCGGGAGGCUGGAGCAGAAGAAUCACUUGAACCGGGGAGGUGGGGGUUGUGGUGAGCCGAGAUCACACCAUUGCACUCUAGCCUGGGCAACAAGAGCGAACUCCAUCUCAAAAAGAAAAACAAAAAAACAAAACAAAACAAAAACUAUGGAAAUCUGAGUAAAGUGUGGGCUUUAGUUAAUAACAAUGUAUCAGUAUUGGUUGAUUAAUUGUGACAACUGUAUGUACUAAUGUAAGAUGUUAAUAAUGGUGUGGGGUGUAUGGAAACUCUCUUAUCUUUGCAAUAUUUCUGUAAAUCUAG
rnacentral:lncRNA from 10 species